GUCCUCUUGAUUAUAUUUUGAGGUCUGGCCUGCUCACUGGCAAGAUUUUGAAGAGCCGCGGUAUUUUGACCGUGCAAAGGUAGCAUAAUCAUUAGUCUCUUAAUUAGAGGCUGGAAUGAAUGGCUUGACGAGAAAUUAACUGUCUCUUAAUAAUAUAUAAAAUUUAACUUUUAAGUUAAAAGGCUUAAAUUUUUCUUUAAGACGAGAAGACCCUAUAGAGCUUUACAUUUUACUUAUAUAUAAUUUUUAGAUUAUCUUUUUAUAUUUAAUAAUAAUGUUUUGUUGGGGUGACAUAAAGAAUAAAUAAACUCUUUAUUAUUAAAUCAUUAAUUUAUGUUUAUUUUGAUCCAUAGUUUAUGAUCAUAAAAUUAAGUUACCUUAGGGAUAACAGCGUAAUUGUUUUUGAGAGCUCAUAUCGACAAAGCAGAUUGCGACCUCGAUGUUGGAUUAAGAUAAAUUCUAGGUGCAGGAGCCUGGUAAUUAGGUCUGUUCGACCUUUAAAUUCUU
rnacentral:rRNA from 1 species